AAGUGCAUUCAUCAAGACAGCAAGUCAAGUCAAGCCAUCAGGCAGAUGCAUAACAGCAAACUGCCAUCACAAGGAUGCUUGGAUGUGGAGGGAGUCAUGAAGAUGGGAAAUGAGAUGUACA